GUGCUAACUUCAGCAGCAUACUAAAGUUAGAAUGAUACAGGGAAAAUUAACACGACUCCAGAGCAAGGGUGACAUGCAAAUUCGUGAAGCCUUCCUCAUUCUU
ensembl:snRNA U6 U6 spliceosomal RNA